CCUACGGGAGGCAGCAGUGAGGAAUAUUGGUCAAUGGCCGGAAGGCUGAACCAGCCAAGUCGCGUGAGUGAAGAAGUAUUUCGGUAUGUAAAGCUCUAUCAGCAGGGAAGAAAAUGACGGUACCUGAUUAAGAACCCCCGGCUAACUACGUGCCAGCAGCCGCGGUAAUACGUAGGGGGCAAGCGUUAUCCGGAUUUACUGGGUGUAAAGGGAGGGUAGACGGCAGCACAAGUCUGGAGUGAAAUGCCGGGGCUUAACCCCGGAACUGCUUUGGAAACUGUGCAGCUAGAGUGCAGGAGAGGUAAGUGGAAUUCCUAGUGUAGCGGUGAAAUGCGUAGAUAUUAGGAGGAACACCAGUGGCGAAGGCGGCUUACUGGACUGUAACUGACGUUGAGGCUCGAAAGCGUGGGGAGCAAACAGGAUUAGAUACCCGUGUAGUC
rnacentral:rRNA from 1 species